rnacentral:lncRNA from 1 species
GCAUUAAAGACUAGAACAUCCAAAAACAAUGGCAUAUAUAAGGAAAAUUAGAAAGUAACUAUGCAUGCCAAGGAAAAGACUAGGAUCAGAAAAACCUGAGAAGACCUCAAGUGUACACUUCAUGUUGAACCUUGGCACAGAGAGAGCCUACAAUUAAACAAACAAAAAACCUAGGGAAGGGGUUUGAUUUCCAGAGUUACCACAUCUCCUGCUUACCUUGAUCUCUAUCUUUGUGAACCCCAUCUCCAGCCAGCAGCCUCAACCAAGGUUAAUAUGUUGGAUUUAGUGGCACAUGUAUAUGAAGAAAAGGAAGAUGGUUUUAUAAAAAAUAACAUUUGAAAACAAGUGCCAUUGGAUUCAGACGUCCAGUUUUCAACAAAAAAUCACAAGGCAUACAAAGAAACAGGAAAAUUAGGCUCAUUCAAAGGGAAAAAAUAUUGGUAAAUCUCAGAGUGGGGGGAAAGAGAAAAAGUAAAUAAAAGAUAUCAACAGGAACUAUUUCUGAAAAAAUAUCUGAUGGUAGAUCUACUAGACAAAGAGUUUAAAACAACUACCUUAAGGAUGCUCAAAGAAGUAAAGGAGAAUGUGGAGAAAGUUGAGGAAACCAUGUAUUUACAAAAUGGAAAUAACAAUAAAGAGACAGAAAAUCAAAAAGAAGACAAAAAGAAAUUCUGAAAGAGAAAAAAUACAGUAACUGAAAUGAAAAAAUCACUAGGAGGAUUCAGAGGCAGUUUUGAACAGACAGAAGAAUGAGCAAACUUGAAGAUAAUAGAAAUUACUAAGUCUGAGGAACCAAAAGAAAAAAAAAAAUAGUAAAAGCAAACAAAUUCUACGGGACCUGUUGGAACACCAUCAAGUGGACCAAUAUACACAUCGUGGGAGUUUUAAAAGGAGAACAGAGACAGAAAGGACAGAAAGAAUAUUUGAAGAAAUAAUGGCUGAAAAAUUCUCGAAUUUGAUGAAAGACAUUAAUAUAAACAUCCAGGAAGCUCAAUGAACUCCAGAGACAGUGUCUUGCUUUGUCACCCAGGCUGGAGUGCUUACAGCUCACUGUGGUCUUCAACUGAUGGCCUCAAGCUAUCCUUCUGCCUCAGUCUCUGUGUAGCUGGUACUACAGCACUCAAGAACCAGCCAGACGCAAAAGCCAAAAUUGACAAAUGGGAUCUCAUUAAACUAAAGAGCUUCUGCACAGCAAAAGAAACUACCAUCAGAGUGAACAGGCAACCUACAGAAUGGGAGAAAAUUUUGCAAUCUACUCAUCUGACAAAAGGCUAAUAUCCAGAACCUACAAAGAACUCAAACAAAUUUACAAAGG